UUUUUUUUUCUUUUUCUUUUUUCAUUUCCCAGAUACAGCUGAUCGAGUUCGCCGAGUGGCCGAGCGAGUGAGCGCUCCUCCGACUUGGGUGGAGGAAGAUGGCAAGCAUCUCCUAAAGAAACCGCUGGUCAGACCAAUGAAACCACAGGACAAAGAGUUCUCUUCAAAAGGGAACAACAAGAAGGAGAGAAAAAAAAAAAAGACAACAUUCCUAGUGAUCUUUCCGUGGGAAUGCGGCAAGGAGUCAGCAGGCAUAGUGAAAAUGGGCGGCGAUGGAUACUCCCAGCACUUGCUGAGCACUGCUACGCCUCAGGACUGGGACAGAGAGAACCAUUCUCUGCUUUCAAUAGGACAGAAGAGCUCCUUGGCACUGGAUGCCUCCGGGUCUGGUUGAGAGAGGAAUGGUUAGGAGACUGUUCUGAGGAUACGCAGACAUCAUCCAAAGCUUCCUACAUUCAGAUGAGGACAGAGGUUGGGCCAGAGCUUUGUAAGCUUGUUACCUAAGGAUGGUUCUGACCAUGUAAGCAGAUCACAGAAGCACUGUUCACAAUAGCAAAGACUUGGAACCAAUCCAAAUGCCCAUCAAUGAACACCUGGAUAAAGAAAAUGUGGCACAUACACAGCAUGGAAUACUAUGCAGCCAUAAAUAAGGAUGAAUUCAUGUCCUUUGCAGGGACAUGGAUGAAGCUGGAAAACAUCAUUCUCAGCAAACUAAGCUGGAGGCAAAGGAUGCCAAGAUGGGAAAGCCACAUAAUGGAAGGAUCCUGGAUUUCAGAGCUGUCACUUGGAGGAGGGGCACCCAGUGAAGGUGUCUUAUCUAACCCACACCAUAUCUUCAUGAAGUGGCCAUAUGGAUUUGAUCCCUAUCCUUCAGAGGUGCUCAGCCUAAGGGAACACGGAUAGUAGAUUAAGCACUGACCAGAGCCAGCCUUGACAAUGUGCUGAUGGCAACCU
rnacentral:lncRNA from 10 species